rnacentral:rRNA from 1 species
UACGGGGGGGGCAAGCGUUGUUCGGAAUUACUGGGCGUAAAGGGCUCGUAGGCGGCCAACUAAGUCAGACGUGAAAUCCCCAGGCUCAACCUGGGAACUGCGUCUGAUACUGGAUGGCUUGAAUCCGGGAGAGGGAUGCAGAAUUCCAGGUGUAGCGGUGAAAUGCGUAGAUAUGCGGAGGAACACCGAUGGCGAAGGCAAUCCCCUGGGCCUGCACUGACGCUCAUGCACGAAAGCGUGGGGAGCAAACAGG